rnacentral:tRNA from 1 species
GCCUUAGUAGCUCAGAAAAUAGAGCGUUGGUCUUGUAAGCCGAAGGUCGAGGGUUAAAGCCCCUCCUAAUGCU